GACGAACCGAGCGAACGUUAUUCGGAAUCACUGGGCUUAAAGGGCGCGUAGGCGGGCCAUCAAGUCAGGGGUGAAAGCCCCCAGCUCAACUGGGGAAGUGCCUCUGAUACUGGUGGCCUCGAGGGAGGUAGGGGCGUGCGGGACUUCCGGUGGAGCGGUGAAAUGCGUAGAUAUCGGAAGGAACAUCGGUGGCGAAAGCGGCGCGCUGGACCUCUUCUGACGCUGAGGCGCGAAAGCCAGGGGAGCGAACGGG
rnacentral:rRNA from 1 species